rnacentral:rRNA from 1 species
GAUGAACGCUGGCGGCGUGCCUAAUACAUGCAAGUCGAGCGAACGGACGAGAAGCUUGCUUCUCUGAUGUUAGCGGCGGACGGGUGAGUAACACGUGGAUAACCUACCUAUAAGACUGGGAUAACUUCGGGAAACCGGAGCUAAUACCGGAUAAUAUUUUGAACCGCAUGGUUCAAAAGUGAAAGACGGUCUUGCUGUCACUUAUAGAUGGAUCCGCGCUGCAUUAGCUAGUUGGUAAGGUAACGGCUUACCAAGGCAACGAUGCAUAGCCGACCUGAGAGGGUGAUCGGCCACACUGGAACUGAGACACGGUCCAGACUCCGACGGGAGGCAGCAGUAGGGAAUCUUCCGCAAUGGGCGAAAGCCUGACGGAGCAACGCCGCGUGAGUGAUGAAGGUCUGCGGAUCGUAAAACUCUGUUAUUAGGGAAGAACAUAUGUGUAAGUAACUGUGCACAUCUUGACGGGACCUAAUCAGAAAGCCACGGCUAACUACGU